rnacentral:rRNA from 1 species
GACGAACGCUGGCGGCGUGCUUAACACAUGCAAGUCGAACGGAAAGGCCCUGCUUGCAGGGUACUCGAGUGGCGAACGGGUGAGUAACAUGUGGGUGAUCUGCCCUGCACUUCGGGAUAAGCCUGGGAAACUGGGUCUAAUACCGGAUAGGAGCCAUUUUUAGUGUGAUGGUUGGAAAGUUUUUUCGGUGUAGGAUGAGCUCGCGGCCUAUCAGCUUGUUGGUGGGGUAAUGGCCUACCAAGGCGGCGACGGGUAGCCGGCCUGGGAGGGUGGACGGCCACAUUGGGACUGAGAUACGGCCCAGACUCCUACGGGAGGCAGCAGUGGGGAAUAUUGCACAAUGGGCGCAAGCCUGAUGCAGCGACGCCGCGUGGGGGAUGACGGCCUUCGGGUUGUAAACUCCUUUCGCUAGGGACGAAGCUUUUGUGACGGUACCUAGAUAAGAAGCACCGGCUAACUACGUG